rfam:Clostridium sp. CAG:433 genomic scaffold, scf30
AAAUUAUAUUGUGCAAAUGGUGCAGUAUCCUAGUUGAUAUAUUUGUUAUGAAGACGAGCCUAAAAAUUCGUUAAAGAGCACAUCUGUGAAACUUUUUGUGUUUGCUUUGGUCGCCCAGACUGGGGUGGAUGCUGAAAGGAUAGUUUUAUGGGAAACUUAUAACGGCAUAUAAGCAGAACCCAUAUUACGUGGAGACUUAAUCUUGUGCUUUAGCCUUGACUUUAGUACGAAUUAAGAUUAAACCUAUUUUGAGGCGAAAGCUUUGAGUAGCGUAGCUUGCCUUGAGUGAAUAUCUUGGGAUUAUAGAAAAAUGUAAAAUAAUAGUGGCCAUAUUAAUUUAUAUGUUAUUGCUAUAUGAAAUUGUAUUUGCAAAAAAGACUAGUAACGAAUCAAUAUCACAGUGAGGAAAACUCCUAGGCUGUUUGCCUGCAUAAGAUUGCAGUGCGUACUUAGUGGUAAUCAAGUCAUAUAUUCGGAAACGGUAUAUACAUUUAUUAAAGGGGAACCGCCUUUUGGUAACGAAAGGUUAAAUCGUGGGAAAUCCUACUUGACCUAUGACGCAAAGUUUAUUAUGCUGGUACCAGGCAUUUUUUUUAACUU